rnacentral:rRNA from 1 species
AUGCGUUUACAAUCUUUAGAUCAUGUUGCUUAUAAUGAAAACCUUAGAAAGAAGGUCCCUACCGAUGUUCUAGUUGAUAGAAUUUCUAAACUUAAUGAUGAUUUUUCUAUUCAAAACAAUGGGUUAGGUUUUUCUCUUGAGCAAAGGAUCAUGACCUUUUUCCAAAAGAAUGUUUAUAAUGAUGAAUUGGUUGUGCAAUAUAAGGGGCCAAAGGAGGAACCCAUACCUCCCGAGCUUGAUCUUGGGGACUUUUGUCCCAUUAAAUUUAGCCCUUUUGAUUACUUUUGUUUGCCACAAAGAAAACUUGCUGCUGAACGUAGGGAAUAUGAGAUGAGUUUUCGUGAUUUGCCUUAUCAUUACGGCAAUACCUAG